rnacentral:ncRNA from 1 species
CUUAUCAAGAGAGAUGGAGGGACUGGCCCUAUGAAAUCCGGCAACCUACUGUGUGUGGUGCUAAAUCCAGUUAGAUAAGGA